rnacentral:rRNA from 1 species
UGGGGAAUCUUGCGCAAUGCGCGAAAGCGUGACGCAGCAACGCCGCGUGCGGGAAGACGGCCUUCGGGUUGUAAACCGCUUUCAGUUGGGACGAAGCUCCUCCGGUGAAUAGCCGGUUGGAGUGACGGUACCUUCACAAGAAGCCCCGGCUAACUACGUGCCAGCAGCCGCGGUAAUACGUAGGGGGCAAGCGUUGUCCGGAAUCAUUGGGCGUAAAGAGCGUGUAGGCGGCCCGGUAAGUCCGCUGUGAAAGUCCAGGGCUCAACCCUGGGAUGCCGGUGGAUACUGUCGGGCUCGAGUCCGGAAGAGGAGUGUGGAAUUCCUGGUGUAGCGGUGAAAUGCGCAGAUAUCAGGAGGAACACCAAUGGCGAAGGCAGCACUCUGGGACGUGACUGACGCUGAGACGCGAAAGCGUGGGGAGCAAACAGGAUUAGAUACCCCCGUAGUCC